UCAGUUGCGUCUGAAAAUAUUAAAUGGAAAAUUCCAGAAAUAAACACUUCAAAAGUUUUAAACUGUGUGCCUUUCUGAGUAGCGUGAUGAAAUCUUACCCCGU